UACCUACCCAUGCUCCUGUGCAAGACCGC
rnacentral:piRNA from 1 species